rnacentral:lncRNA from 1 species
UAUUUUGCAGAGCUGAGGAUUGAACCAGUGCUCUACGUCAGUGCUCUACCACUGGGCUCUAACCCUAGCCUGAUGUUUUCACUUUUAAAGAUGAGAGAACAGAAGGCCCUCGGCCACCCAGUACCUUGAUGGCAGUGUGGGCCGGGACGGCAGACAGCUGGAUGUCUACUUAGAAUUCUCUUCAACUGCAUGAAUCAUGGUUGCUCUCUCAAGCUUCAUACUCUCUAAUUUGACUAUCAGAACUACAUCCUGGAGGAUCAUUUGGUAAGCU